rnacentral:rRNA from 1 species
GGUUAAGCUAAUAAGAGCACACGGAGGAUGCCUAGGCGCCAGGAGCCGACGAAGGACGUGGCGAACAACGAAACUGCCUCGGGGAGCUGUAAGCAAGCUUUGAUCCGGGGGUGUCCGAAUGGGGAAACCCAGCUGUGGUAAUUCGCAGUUACUCAUACCUGAAUACAUAGGGUAUGUAGAGGCAGACCAGGGGAACUGAAACAUCUAAGUACCCUGAGGAAGAGAAAACAAUAGUGAUUCCGUCAGUAGCGGCGAGCGAACGCGGAACAGCCUAAACCAAGGGGCUUGCCCCUUGGGGUUGUGGGACGUCUCACAUGGAGUUACAAAGGAAUCUGGUAGGUGAAGAGGUCUGGAAAGGCCCGCGAUAGAGGUAAAAGCCCUGUAACCUAAACCAUGUUCUCUCCGAGACGGAUCCCGAGUAGUGCGGGGCACGUGAAACCCCGUAUGAAUCCAGCAGGACCAUCUGCUAAGGCUAAAUACUACCUGGCGACCGAUAGUGAAACAGUACCGUGAGGGAAAGGUGAAAAGCACCCCGGAAGGGGAGUGAAAUAGAACCUGAAACCGUGUGCUUACAAAAAGUCAGAGCCCAAUCUAUGGGUGAUGGCGUGCCUUUUGUAGAAUGAACCGGCGAGUUACGUUUAACAUGCAAGGUUAAGUCGAGAAGACGGAGCCGCAGCGAAAGCGAGUCUGAAUAGGGCGAAUUAGUAUGUGGACGUAGACCCGAAACCGUGUGAUCUACCCCUGUCCAGGGUGAAGGUGCGGUAACACGCACUGGAGGCCCGAACCCACGCAUGUUGA